UGGCUCAGUUGGUAGAGCAUGGUGUUUGCAACGCCAGGGUUGUGGGUUUGAUUCCCGC
rnacentral:tRNA from 1 species